GAAACAUCUUCGGGUUGUGAGGUUAAGCGACUAAGCGUACACGGUGGAUGCCCUGGCAGUCAGAGGCGAUGAAGGACGUGCUAAUCUGCGAUAAGCGUCGGUGAGGUGAUAUGAACCGUUAUAACCGGCGAUUUCCGAAUGGGGAAACCCAGUGUGUUUCGACACACUAUCAUUAACUGAAUCCAUAGGUUAAUGAGGCGAACCGGGGGAACUGAAACAUCUAAGUACCCCGAGGAAAAGAAAUCAACCGAGAUUCCCCCAGUAGCGGCGAGCGAACGGGGAGGAGCCCAGAGCCUGAAUCAGUGUGUGUGUUAGUGGAAGCGUCUGGAAAGGCGCGCGAUACAGGGUGACAGCCCCGUACACAAAAAUGCACAUACUGUGAGCUCGAUGAGUAGGGCGGGACACGUGGUAUCCUGUCUGAAUAUGGGGGGACCAUCCUCCAAGGCUAAAUACUCCUGACUGACCGAUAGUGAACCAGUACCGUGAGGGAAAGGCGAAAAGAACCCCGGCGAGGGGAGUGAAAAAGAACCUGAAACCGUGUACGUACAAGCAGUGGGAGCCUCUUAAUGGGGUGACUGCGUACCUUUUGUAUAAUGGGUCAGCGACUUAUAUUCUGUAGCAAGGUUAACCGAAUAGGGGAGCCGAAGGGAAACCGAGUCUUAACUGGGCGUUAAGUUGCAGGGUAUAGACCCGAAACCCGGUGAUCUAGCCAUGGGCAGGUUGAAGGUUGGGUAACACUAACUGGAGGACCGAACCGACUAAUGUUGAAAAAUUAGCGGAUGACUUGUGGCUGGGGGUGAAAGGCCAAUCAAACCGGGAGAUAGCUGGUUCUCCCCGAAAGCUAUUUAGGUAGCGCCUCGUGAAUUCAUCUCCGGGGGUAGAGCACUGUUUCGGCAAGGGGGUCAUCCCGACUUACCAACCCGAUGCAAACUGCGAAUACCGGAGAAUGUUAUCACGGGAGACACACGGCGGGUGCUAACGUCCGUCGUGAAGAGGGAAACAACCCAGACCGCCAGCUAAGGUCCCAAAGUCAUGGUUAAGUGGGAAACGAUGUGGGAAGGCCCAGACAGCCAGGAUGUUGGCUUAGAAGCAGCCAUCAUUUAAAGAAAGCGUAAUAGCUCACUGGUCGAGUCGGCCUGCGCGGAAGAUGUAACGGGGCUAAACCAUGCACCGAAGCUGCGGCAGCGACACUAUGUGUUGUUGGGUAGGGGAGCGUUCUGUAAGCCUGUGAAGGUGGCCUGUGAGGGUUGCUGGAGGUAUCAGAAGUGCGAAUGCUGACAUAAGUAACGAUAAAGCGGGUGAAAAGCCCGCUCGCCGGAAGACCAAGGGUUCCUGUCCAACGUUAAUCGGGGCAGGGUGAGUCGACCCCUAAGGCGAGGCCGAAAGGCGUAGUCGAUGGGAAACAGGUUAAUAUUCCUGUACUUGGUGUUACUGCGAAGGGGGGACGGAGAAGGCUAUGUUGGCCGGGCGACGGUUGUCCCGGUUUAAGCGUGUAGGCUGGUUUUCCAGGCAAAUCCGGAAAACCAAGGCUGAGGCGUGAUGACGAGGCACUACGGUGCUGAAGCGACAAAUGCCCUGCUUCCAGGAAAAGCCUCUAAGCAUCAGGUAACAUCAAAUCGUACCCCAAACCGACACAGGUGGUCAGGUAGAGAAUACCAAGGCGCUUGAGAGAACUCGGGUGAAGGAACUAGGCAAAAUGGUGCCGUAACUUCGGGAGAAGGCACGCUGAUAUGUAGGUGAAGCGACUUGCUCGUGGAGCUGAAAUCAGUCGAAGAUACCAGCUGGCUGCAACUGUUUAUUAAAAACACAGCACUGUGCAAACACGAAAGUGGACGUAUACGGUGUGACGCCUGCCCGGUGCCGGAAGGUUAAUUGAUGGGGUUAGCGGUAACGCGAAGCUCUUGAUCGAAGCCCCGGUAAACGGCGGCCGUAACUAUAACGGUCCUAAGGUAGCGAAAUUCCUUGUCGGGUAAGUUCCGACCUGCACGAAUGGCGUAAUGAUGGCCAGGCUGUCUCCACCCGAGACUCAGUGAAAUUGAACUCGCUGUGAAGAUGCAGUGUACCCGCGGCAAGACGGAAAGACCCCGUGAACCUUUACUAUAGCUUGACACUGAACAUUGAGCCUUGAUGUGUAGGAUAGGUGGGAGGCUUUGAAGUGUGGACGCCAGUCUGCAUGGAGCCGACCUUGAAAUACCACCCUUUAAUGUUUGAUGUUCUAACGUUGGCCCGUAAUCCGGGUUGCGGACAGUGUCUGGUGGGUAGUUUGACUGGGGCGGUCUCCUCCUAAAGAGUAACGGAGGAGCACGAAGGUUGGCUAAUCCUGGUCGGACAUCAGGAGGUUAGUGCAAUGGCAUAAGCCAGCUUGACUGCGAGCGUGACGGCGCGAGCAGGUGCGAAAGCAGGUCAUAGUGAUCCGGUGGUUCUGAAUGGAAGGGCCAUCGCUCAACGGAUAAAAGGUACUCCGGGGAUAACAGGCUGAUACCGCCCAAGAGUUCAUAUCGACGGCGGUGUUUGGCACCUCGAUGUCGGCUCAUCACAUCCUGGGGCUGAAGUAGGUCCCAAGGGUAUGGCUGUUCGCCAUUUAAAGUGGUACGCGAGCUGGGUUUAGAACGUCGUGAGACAGUUCGGUCCCUAUCUGCCGUGGGCGCUGGAGAACUGAGGGGGGCUGCUCCUAGUACGAGAGGACCGGAGUGGACGCAUCACUGGUGUUCGGGUUGUCAUGCCAAUGGCACUGCCCGGUAGCUAAAUGCGGAAGAGAUAAGUGCUGAAAGCAUCUAAGCACGAAACUUGCCCCGAGAUGAGUUCUCCCUGAGACUUAGAGUCUCCUGAAGGAACGUUGAAGACGACGACGUUGAUAGGCCGGGUGUGUAAGCGCAGCGAUGCGUUGAGCUAACCGGUACUAAUGAACCGUGAGGCUUAACCUU
rnacentral:rRNA from 1 species